UACGAAGGGGGCUAGCGUUGUUCGGAAUUACUGGGCGUAAAGCGCACGUAGGCGGAUAUUUAAGUCAGGGGUGAAAUCCCAGAGCUCAACUCUGGAACUGCUUUUGAUACUGGGUAUCUCGAGUAUGGAAGAGGUGAGUGGAAUUCCGAGUGUAGAGGUGAAAUUCGUAGAUAUUCGGAGGAACACCAGUGGCGAAGGCGGCUCACUGGUCCAUUACUGACGCUGAGGUGCGAAAGCGUGGGGAGCAAACAGG
rnacentral:rRNA from 1 species